UUGAUCAUGGCUCAGGAUGAACGCUGGCGGCGUGCGUAAUACAUGCAAGUCGAACGAUCGACUUCGGUCGAUAGUGGCGAACGGGUGAGUAACGCGUUGGUGACCUGCCCCGAAGCGAGGGAUAACAGGCCGAAAGGUCUGCUAAUACCGCAUAAGCUAGCCAUAGUUUAGGAAAUGGUUAGGAAAGGAGAAAUCUGCUUUGGGAGGGGCCUGCGUCCCAUCAGCUAGUUGGUAAGGUAACGGCUUACCAAGGCGAUGACGGGUAGGGGACCUGAGAGGGUGACCCCCCACAAUGGAACUGAAACACGGUCCAUACACCUACGGGUGGCAGCAGUAGGGAAUAUUGGUGAAUGGGCGAAAGCCUGAACCAGCAACGCCGCGUGUGCGAUGAAGGCCUUCGGGUUGUAAAGCACUUUUCACUGGGAAGAGGAAGGACGGUACCAGUGGAAUAAGCCUCGGCUAACUACGUGCCAGCAGCCGCGGUAAAACGUAGGAGGCGAGCGUUAUCCGGAUUUACUGGGUGUAAAGCGCGUGCAGGCGGCUCGUUAAGUUGGGUGUGAAAGCUCCUGGCUCAACUGGGAGAGGCCGCUCAAGACUGGCGGGCUAGAGAGUGGUAGAGGAAGGUGGAAUUCCGGGUGUAGUGGUGAAAUGCGUAGAUAUCCGGAGGAACACCAGUGGCGAAAGCGGCCUUCUGGGCCACAUCUGACGCUCAGACGCGAAAGCUAGGGUAGCAAACGGGAUUAGAGACCCCGGUAGUCCUAGCCGUAAACGAUGUGAACUUGGCGCUGGUUGGGUAAAACCGAUCAGUGCCGCAGCCAACGCGAUAAGUUCACCACCUGGGGACUACGGCCGCAAGGUUAAAACUCAAAGGAAUUGACGG
rnacentral:rRNA from 1 species